rnacentral:rRNA from 1 species
GACGAACGCUGGCGGCGUGCUUAACACAUGCAAGUCGAACGAUGAAGCCGGAGCUUGCUCUGGUGAAUUAGUGGCGAACGGGUGAGUAACACGUGAGUAACCUGCCCUUGACUCUGGGAUAACUGCGGGAAACUGUAGCUAAUACCGGAUACGACCCUCGGAGGCAUCUCCUGGGGGUGGAAAGAAUUUCGGGCAAGGAUGGACUCGCGGCCUAUCAGCUAGUUGGUGAGGUAAAGGCAGACCAAGGCGACGACGGGUAGCCGGCCUGGGAGGGGAGCCGGCAAGCCUGGGACUGGGACAGUGCCCAGUCUCCUACGGGAGGCAGCAGUGGGGAAUAUUGCACAAUGGGCGCAAGCCUGAUGCAGCAGCGCCUCGUGAGGGAUGACGGCCUUCGGGUUGUAAACCUCUUUUAGCAGGGAAGAAGCGAAAGUGACGGUACCUGCAGAAAAAGCACCGGCUAACUACGUGCCAGCCGCCGCAGUAA